UUUCCCUCCUCUGGGGCUUGCUUGCAAGGCGGGGUUGGGUCAAGGUUGGGGGAGCCUCUCUCUUCCUCCCUGCUUGGUGCCUCAGUGACCAGCCAGCUCCCUGCCCCACCCAGCUGGCCCCAGGCCACCGGCCGGGCCUGGGACUCAACUUGCCAACUUACAGCCUGAGGGAGGGCUGGGCUCUUCAAAAACAGCCUCAAAUCAUCCAGGCCGCUGACAGCCACAGGGCAAGCGCCCAGAGCCCAUUCUUUCUGUCUGGCCUCCAUCUCAUCCGGCUAUCCCAGGAUCCCACCAGGGGCAACACACGGAACGUCUUUCAUCCUGUGGACGGGAAUCACAACAUCCAGCAGUGUCGGGGCUGUUGCAAGAAACUGCCCAGCACAGGACCUGGGCCUUCGCAGUUUAAUCACCUCGUUCCUCUUCCUGCCUGGAGAACUGCAGGGACUGUGUUGUGCUGCUGGUCACC
rnacentral:lncRNA from 1 species